UUCAGUGUCGAUACCAUACUGAAUACGCCGGUGCUCGUCCGAUCACGGAAGCUAAGCAGCAGUGGGCUUUGUCAGUACCUGGAAGGACGGCCACCUGGGAACACGGAGCGCUGAUGGAA
rnacentral:rRNA from 2 species